GACGAACGCUGGCGGCGUGCUUAACACAUGCAAGUCGAACGGAAAGGCCCUGCUUUUGUGGGGUGCUCGAGUGGCGAACGGGUGAGCAACACGUGAGUAACCUGCCCUUGACUUUGGGAUAACUUCAGGAAACUGGGGCUAAUACCGGAUAGGAGCUCCUGCUGCAUGGUGGGGGUUGGAAAGUUUCGGCGGUUGGGGAUGGACUCGCGGCUUAUCAGCUUGUUGGUGGGGUGGUGGCUUACCAAGGCUUUGACGGGUAGCCGGCCUGAGAGGGUGACCGGCCACAUUGGGACUGAGAUACGGCCCAGACUCCUACGGGAGGCAGCAGUGGGGAAUAUUGCACAAUGGGCGGAAGCCUGAUGCAGCAACGCCGCGUGCGGGAUGACGGCCUUCGGGUUGUAAACCGCUUUCGCCUGUGACGAAGCGUGAGUGACGGUAAUGGGUAAAGAAGCACCGGCUAACUACGUG
rnacentral:rRNA from 1 species